rnacentral:rRNA from 1 species
AAGAAGCGCCGGCUAACUACGUGCCAGCAGCCGCGGUAAUACGUAGGGCGCGAGCGUUGUCCGGAAUUAUUGGGCGUAAAGAGCUCGUAGGCGGCUUGUCGCGUCGGGUGUGAAAGACCGGGGCUUAACUCCGGUUCUGCAUUCGAUACGGGCUAGCUAGAGUUCGGUAGGGGAGAUCGGAAUUCCUGGUGUAGCGGUGAAAUGCGCAGAUAUCAGGAGGAACACCGGUGGCGAAGGCGGAUCUCUGGGCCGAUACUGACGCUGAGGAGCGAAAGCGUGGGGAGCGAACAGGAUUAGAUACCCUGGUAGUCCACGCCGUAACCGGUGGGCACUAGGUGUGGGCGACAUUCCACGUCGUCCGUGCCGCAGCUAACGCAUUAAGUGCCCCGCCUGGGGAGUACGGCCGCAAGGCUAACACUCAAAGGAAUUG